UUAAAACAUUAAAUUUAAAAGAUUUGGCGGUAUUUUAAAUAAUUAGAGGAACCUGUAUAAUAAUUGAUAAUCCACAAUAAGAUUAACUUAAAGAUUUAUGUAUUGCUGUUUAAAGAUUAUUAUUAAUUAAAUUUUUAAUUUUUUAAUUUAAUUUAAUUCAAGUCAAAAUAUAGUUUAAUUAAGAUAUGGGUUACAUUUUUAUUUUGAAAUUGGAUUUAAUAGUAA
rnacentral:rRNA from 1 species